rnacentral:rRNA from 1 species
AUUGAACGCUGGCGGCAGGCCUAACACAUGCAAGUCGAACGGUAACAGGGAGCAGCUUGCUGCUUUGCUGACGAGUGGCGGACGGGUGAGUAAUGUCUGGGAAACUGCCUGAUGGAGGGGGAUAACUACUGGAAACGGUAGCUAAUACCGCAUAACGUCGCAAGACCAAAGAGGGGGACCUUCGGGCCUCUUGCCAUCGGAUGUGCCCAGAUGGGAUUAGCUAGUAGGUGGGGUAACGGCUCACCUAGGCGACGAUCCCUAGCUGGUCUGAGAGGAUGACCAGCCACACUGGAACUGAGACACGGUCCAGACUCCUACGGGAGGCAGCAGUGGGGAAUAUUGCACAAUGGGCGCAAGCCUGAUGCAGCCAUGCCGCGUGUAUGAAGAAGGCCUUCGGGUUGUAAAGUACUUUCAGCGGGGAGGAAGGGAGUAAAGUUAAUACCUUUGCUCAUUGACGUUACCCGCAGAAGAAGCACCGGCUAACUCCGUG